rnacentral:lncRNA from 1 species
GGUGGAGGGAAGUUCAUCAGUGGGGCUACGAGCUGAGUGCAUCACGUCACUCUGUAGCACGUCCCCCGGGAAGGUCUGAGACUAGGGCCAAGUGUGGCCCUGACAGAGCCCUCCCUGAGUGUGGGGAGUGAAUUCUCAGAGAGCGGGGAGCCGCGUGAGGGCAGACUGGGCAGGUGAAAAACACGAAAUAAAAUGGGGAAAAAAAUGAAUGUGGAAAUGAGAAUGAAGUGACAUAACAUAGACGAUAACGUAAGACAAAACAAAAUAUCUACACUGCAAACUGCACACAUGUAUGAAAUCAUAUUUCCCGUAGUAAAUAUGUACAGGUCUUACAUGUCAGUUAAUUAACAGGUAUCAUGUGUCAAUUGUUUCAAAUAAGCUCUUGUGCU